rnacentral:ncRNA from 1 species
GAUGGUGCCCGCCGGCCAUCAGGCGGGUGAAAAGGGAAACGUGUGAGAGUCACGUACAGGUCCGCUGCUGUAUGUUCCACGCACAAAGGCCAUUGGGGAUGUGAGCUGCGCCUCGGCCACUGAAGCUGCCGCAAGGCUGCGUUGGGAAGGCCGCCCCAUGGACGGAACGAGUCAGAAAACCUGCCACCGCCG